rnacentral:rRNA from 1 species
GACGAACGCUGGCGGCGUGCCUAAUACAUGCAAGUCGAACGAGAGCGACCGGUGCUUGCACUGGUCAAUCUAGUGGCGAACGGGUGAGUAACACGUGGGUAACCUGCCCAUCAGAGGGGGAUAACAUCCGGAAACGGAUGCUAAAACCGCAUAGGUCUUCGAACCGCAUGGUUUGAAGAGGAAAAGAGGCGCAAGCUUCUGCUGAUGGAUGGACCCGCGGUGCAUUAGCUAGUUGGUGAGGUAACGGCUCACCAAGGCCGUGAUGCAUAGCCGACCUGAGAGGGUGAUCGGCCACAUUGGGACUGAGACACGGCCCAAACUCCUACGGGAGGCAGCAGUAGGGAAUCUUCCGCAAUGGACGCAAGUCUGACGGAGCAACGCCGCGUGAGUGAAGAAGGUUUUCGGAUCGUAAAACUCUGUUGUUAGAGAAGAACAAGUGCUAGAGUAACUGUUAGCGCCUUGACGGUUUCUAACCAGAAAGCCACGGCUAACUACGUG